AUAUGUUACUAUGUUAGGCAAUGCAUUAUAAUCAACACAAAACAAUGUCUCGAUUACCUUAUUUUUAAUCAUAACUGGAAUUUCUUUUAUUUAUCAUAACCAUUUUUUAAUAUAUAAUAAAACAUUCAAUGUCAUACCAACAUGUGAAGUUUGUGGCAAAAAUCUCUGUCAUUUUCAUGCCCCUUGGUUAUUUUAUGACCCUUUAAAGCUCAUAAAUAAAACAAUCAAAGAAACAAUUAAUUUUGCAUGUAUCAUGUUUCAUUGCUCUCCCCCUAUGCCAUCUUUUCUUUGGAAUGCUUUGUUGAAUGUCAGUUUCCUGGCUCUUUUCCUCAAUUCAGUCCCGGAUAUGAUGUGUCUUUUUACAUGUACAGUGGUAAUUCAAGAGGACACUUUAGUUCUAAUAUGAGCUCAUUUUAAGCAUCCACCUUUAAUGUUUUGGUACUUGUACGAAACUCAGGAUUCAAUGGUUCAUGAUUAAAUGUUGGGUUUUUUUUUCUGAUGAGUGCCAUAUUGAUACAUCAUUUUGUUUAUAGGUCUUCAAUUUUCACAUCGAACAUUCCCAUGUCUGCUCCUGUCUCCAUUGCUGUUUAUCAUUCUGAGGAAAGAAAAUGUAAUGAAU
rnacentral:lncRNA from 1 species